CAAUAGCGUAUAUUAAAGUUGUUGCAGUUAAAAAAGCUCGUAGUCGGAUUUCGGGUCGGGCCGAGCGGUCUGCCGAUGGGUAUGCACUGUUUGGCGCGGCCUUCUUUCCGGAGACCGCGGCUACUCUUAACUGAGCGGGCGUGGGAGACGGAUCGUUUACUUUGAAAAAAUCAGAUGUUUCUAGCAGGCAGCUCGCUCUUGCAUAGGUUAGCAUGGGAUAAUUUAAUAGGACUCUGGUGCUAUUUUGUUGGUUUCGAACACCGGAGUAAUGAUUAAAAGGGGCAGUCAGGGGCACUCGUAUUCCGUCGAGAGAGGUGAAAUUCUCAGACCAGCGGAAGACGAACCACUGCGAAAGCAUUUGCCAGGGAUGUUUCACUGAUCAAGAGCGAAAGUCAGAGGUUCGAAGAUGAUCAGAU
rnacentral:rRNA from 1 species